AUCGCAUUAUCCAAGAUACAUAGCGGCUGAAUGGUAUUCUAGCAACGACUCGACCAAUUUGCAAAUUUACCGUGUUAAAAUAAUGAAAACGCAGUUCGUGGAGUGAAGGGGAAGUGGUCAAAAUCCAACCACGGUGUACAUUUUAAAAAUAAUUUCUUCUUGAGCUAGCAGCUGCUUCUCAGCCGAACCAAGAAGCGAGAGGAACUCCAAAGAACGCCACGAAAUCCCCUAAUGUUGUCAUGGUAACGUGCCGCCGCCUGGAACCCCUCCCCUGCCAGAAGCAGAUGGCCCCAGCCUCGUCGCUUUGUGUAUGUGUAUGUGUCUGUCUGUAUCCCACACUAGGGCAGUACCUUCAGACGGAGAAAGAGGACGCAGGGGAUGGAGCCACUUGGCCGACGCAGAAAUAAAUUCUUGUACAAAGCAGAACAUGCUUGGAUUAUGAGACAGACUUUCUGGAAUGUACGGCAAGGCCCAUCCCUACCUCAGACCGAUCGAAACAUUGGAAUUUCACCUUCAGGAGGCCUACCAUCUGCUCCACCGUGGCCCUGGUUGAACAAUGGGUGACAUUGUAUUCACACUCCGCCUUAGCCAGAGGGUCAUGUAACUGAAUCUUCAGCCAUGGUCACAGAAGGUUUCCCCCAGUAAUUAGCUUUAUAAAGCAUACAGCCCUCGAAAUAAAGCAGGGACAUCAGAGUUCUCAAGGCAUAGGCAUUAGACAACUCACAGUUUACUGAGAACAGAUUUCUAAGAUGUGACAAAUGAUCAGGCAUGACGUUUUACAUUGAUGGAAUGGGACCUGUUUCUGUUGACAAAGUCUGUUGAGUUAUCAUAUGGUACUUGCAAGAACCAGAAGAUAUGAUAAGCAUGCAGCAGAUCAAUCAACAUUGAGGAGAGAACAAAUAAGUUAAUGCUUCAGGCAUUCAUCACUCCACCAGAUCAGCAGAAUAUGAAGUGAUGAACAAGCAUUUCAAUAGAAACAGAACAAAGAGAAAGAGGAAGAGAAGAUCAACAGAAGGAUUGGUGAAUUUUUUCAAAAUUGUGGAAUGAUUGAGAUGAAUUUUGUAUCACAGGAAGCAGUGUUGAAUUAAAUAAAGAAAACAUUAACAAAGUAAACAACCACAGAUUAUACUUAUAUAACACCUUUUAGAAGAAUCAAACUUCCCAAGGAGUUUAUUAGGAGCAUUAGACAUGCAAGUAUGACACUAAGAGUGUUUCAAAGGAUGAACAUGAUGUAGAGAGGUAAAGCAAUGUAGGGAGGGUAUAUAAGAGCUCAGGGCCUAGACAACUGAAGGCCUGGCCACCAGUUGUGUAAGCCAGGAUUGGAGAUGCACCUGCAUCUCAGAGGUGCUACGGGAGAAGAGUAUCCAAAUAGGGGGGUGGCAAGACCAGUAAGGGGUUUGAAAACAAGGGUUCAAAUUUUAAAAAUAAAAGAUGUUGCUUGUCCAGGAGCCAGUUUAGACCAAAAAGGACAAGGGUGACAGGUAACUGAGAUUGCCGCAGUUAAGACACAGACAGCAGAGUUGGAGAUGACCUCAAGCUGACAGAGUGCAUAAUUUGAGCCAUUGGCAUAUUCACGACUGAAGGUAACUAAGGCAUGAGAAGAGUUGCAGCAACAGAUGGGGUGAGACAGAGGUGAAAAUAAUCAGUUUCAAUGGGAGCUCAUCUAGGGAACAGAUAUGAUACCAAGUUUGCCAACAAACUGGCUUAAUCUCAGUCUGUUUCCAGGGAGACGGUUGGAGUCAGUAGACAGGGAAUAGAAUUUGAAGUGGGACCCAAAAGCAAUAGCUUUAAUCUUUCCAAUACUUAAUUGGGGAAAUUUUGCUCAUCUGAUGUUAGCUAUCUCAUGAACACAACAACAACCUAGUGACAAUGAAGGAGACAAGGUGGUGAGAUAGAACUGGGAUCCAUCAUUUUAAAAGGAAAAACAAAGGCUUUCAGUUGAUGUCACCAAGGGUAAUAUGUAGAUGCAAAAGAAUGGGACCAAGGAUGGUCCUCAGCAAUUGACAGCAGUAAUAGUGAGGUAACAGGAAGAGAAGCCAUUACAAGUGCUAACAUAGCUCGGAUUAGAUAGGUCACAUGAGAAAAGUACACAGUGUUAGACUGCUAUGGACAUCAAAAAAGGUUGGGCUGGAAAUCUGAAAUAAAAACAGAAAAUUAUAGAAACACUCAUCAGGCUGGGCAAUGUCUGGGAGGAGAGAAACAGAGGAAUGUUAAAGGCUUUCCAACCUCUGACCGCUCUCUUGUGUUGGUUAUAAUAGAAGAAUAUUUGACAUCACUUGCUGCUUUGUAACCUUCACCCUUAAUGUUUUGUCUGUACUCCAGUAUUCAGUCCAAUGAGUCUUUCCUGUGUUUCUCCUGCUGGAAUCACAAAGGCUGUUUCUAGUUUCUUUAUUAAUCUGCUUUAGGUCUUGUUCAUUUAGUCUGAAUGGUUGAUUUUAAGAAUGAAGUUAUCUUUCAUGCAUAUGUAAACUAGUGUGUCGAGUAAUGGGAAAAAUAUCUUGUGACACAAUAGAUUCAUGUAGAACAAAGUUAAAGUGUCUAGAGGUCUACAGCACCAGGACAGGCCCUUCAGCCAAAUGAGUCUGCACCAGUCAACAGAAUACCACCUCACUAUUCUGAUCCAGCAGUUGACCCUUAGCCUAUAUCCCUUGACAUCACACAUGCACAUCUCAAUAUUUCUUAAAUGUAUGCGGGUUUCCAUAGUGAUAGUAAGGAGGUUAGUCAGAUGGACCUCAUACAAUCUGAGUUCCCUGAUUGUAGUUGUUAAUCUGGUCUUAUCAGGAAGCCCUGCUUGAUAGAUAAAAGUAGGAGGCCAGAGGUUCUGUUGUCUCUGGCAGCUGGUUCUGAGCAAGCUAGAUCAAUGUCAAUGUCAAAGAUCAACGUCUUUACCUUUAAAUAAAUGGUGACUGAGUGACAGGA